AAACUGGUUAGGAAGGCUGGCUCCAUCAUCGGCUGCCAGCUGGAGCUCCUGGAACAGGUGGUGGAGAGGAGGACGUUGAAGAAACUGGUGUCCAUAUUGGACAACCCGGACCACCCUCUCCACCACCUCCUACAGGGACAGAGGAGUACUUUCUCCAGACGUCUCCUCACGCUCCGCUGCCACAAGGACAGAUACAGGAGAACAUUCCUGCCGACGGCUAUGAGGCUCUACAACAGUUCACCUCUUGCCAGAUCACCCUAACCCUUCUUAUAUUUUGUGUUUUGUUUUUUUAUUCUUGUGUGUUGCUGCUACUGGCUCGACAAAUUUCCCCUUGGGGAUUAAUAAAGUAUAUAUCUAUCUAUCUAUCUAUCUAUGCCACCAAAGGGUCCUGAUCGGGGACUCUGAUGACCUUCUGGACGUGUCCCACACCUCCAUUGGGACCCUGACGGUGCUGAAGACAUCGUGGCCUCCUCACUCGCUGGACCUGGAGUCUACAGCUACUGCCGUUGUUUUGGGAGGAGCAGUCGUGAUGGGUGACCGUGAUGAUCUUCCCCAUGCCCUGUGGCUACUCUUCGGACUUAUUUACCCCUGAAUUUGGAGUAUCCUCAACGAGUGAGGAACACCUUCUGAAUUUAUUCAUAGAGUGCUUCUCACUUGGACCAAAAACCCUAAAAUACAAUCACUCAAAAAUCUACUGAUGCCAUAAGGGACUGUGUUCAUGAUGUGCAGUCAGGCCCGAGAACUUCACCCUUCUAUCUCCAAUAGAACUCUUUUAUAGAAAAUGUCUGUUUUUGUUGUUUUUCUGUCGUGAAAUUUAGCAAAUGCCGAAAACGCUGUGUUCAUCAUAUUUCUGCGUUACAAAACCUAAUCUGGCAACAUGUUCAGCGUUUUAAGCACGUUGUUUGAGUUUUAAAACAUGUGUUUUUCUUCUAAAUAAACGUUGUCUUCCAUUGUAA